UACGGAGGGUGCGAGCGUUAAUCGGAAUUACUGGGCGUAAAGGGUGCGUAGGUGGUUGAUUAAGUUAUCUGUGAAAUACCUGGGCUCAACCUGGGAGUGUCAGAUAAUACUGGUUGACUAGAGUAUGGGAGAGGGUAGUGGAAUUUCCGGUGUAGCGGUGAAAUGCGUAGAGAUCGGAAGGAACACCAGUGGCGAAGGCGGCUACCUGGCCUAAUACUGACACUGAGGCACGAAAGCGUGGGGAGCAAACAGG
rnacentral:rRNA from 1 species